rnacentral:rRNA from 1 species
GAUGAACGCUGGCGGCGUGCCUAAUACAUGCAAGUCGAGCGAACGGACGAGAAGCUUGCUUCUCUGAUGUUAGCGGCGGACGGGUGAGUAACACGUGGAUAACCUACCUAUAAGACUGGGAUAACUUCGGGAAACCGGAGCUAAUACCGGAUGAUAUUUUGAACCGCAUGGUUCAAAAGUGAAAGACGGUCUUGCUGUCACUUAUAGAUGGAUCCGCGCUGCAUUAGCUAGUUGGUAAGGUAACGGCUUACCAAGGCAACGAUGCAUAGCCGACCUGAUAGGGUGACUGGCCACACUGGAACUAGGACACGGUCCAGACUCCUACGGGAGGCCGCAGUAGCGAAUCUUCCGCAAAGGGCGAAAGCCUGACGGAGCAACGCCGCGUGAGUGAUGACAGUCUUCGGAUCGUAAAACUCUGCUAUUAGGGAAGAACAUAUGUGUAAGUAACUGUGCACAUCUUGACGGUACCUAAUCAGAAAGCCACGGCUAACUACGUG